rnacentral:rRNA from 1 species
ACAUGCAAGUCGAGGGGCAGCAUGAUUGAAGCUUGCUUCAAUUGAUGGCGACCGGCGCACGGGUGAGUAACGCGUAUCCAACCUUCCGUACACUCAGGGAUAGCCUUUCGAAAGAAAGAUUAAUACCCGAUGGUAUGAUGAGAUUGCAUGAUAGCAUCAUUAAAGAUUUAUCGGUGUACGAUGGGGAUGCGUUCCAUUAGGUAGUAGGCGGGGUAACGGCCCACCUAGCCGACGAUGGAUAGGGGUUCUGAGAGGAAGGUCCCCCACAUUGGAACUGAGACACGGUCCAAACUCCUACGGGAGGCAGCAGUGAGGAAUAUUGGUCAAUGGACGAGAGUCUGAACCAGCCAAGUAGCGUGAAGGAUGAAGGUCCUACGGAUUGUAAACUUCUUUUAUAAGGGAAUAAAACCUCCCACGUGUGGGAGCUUGUAUGUACCUUAUGAAUAAGCAUCGGCUAACUCCGUGCCAGCAGCCGCGGUAAUACGGAGGAUGCGAGCGUUAUCCGGAUUUAUUGGGUUUAAAGGGA